rnacentral:rRNA from 1 species
GACGAACGCUGGCGGCGUGCUUAAUACAUGCAAGUCGAACGGAAAGGCGCUGCGUUUGUUGGGUGCUCGAUUGGCGAACGGGUGAGUAACACGCGAGUAACCUGCCCUUGUCUUUGGGAUAACUUCAGGGGACUGGGGCGAAUACCGGAGAGAAGCUCCUGCUGCAUGUUGUGCGUUGGUAAAAUACGGCGGUUGGGGAUGGACUCGCGGCUUACGAGCGUGUUGGUGAGGUUGUUGCGUACCAAGGUUUUGACGGGUAGGCGGCCUGAGAGGGUUACCGGCCACCUUGGGCCUAAGAUACGGACCAGUAGGCUACGUGCCGCAGUAGUGGGGAAUAUUGCACAACGGGCGGAAGCCUGAUGCAGCAACGCCGCGUGCGGGAUGCUGUCUUUCGAGUUGUAAACCGCUUUGGCAUGUGACGAAGAGUGAGUGACGGUAAUGGGUCAAGAAGCAACGGCUAACUACGUG